rnacentral:tRNA from 1 species
GCGGAAGUAGUUUCAGUGGUAGAACAUCACCUUGCCAUGGUGGGGGUCGCGGGUUCGAAUCCCGUCUUCCGCU